GUGCUCACUUCGGCUGCACAUAAACUAAAAUUGCAUCGAUAGACAGAAGAUUAGCAUGGGAUCGGCACAUGGAUGACACGCAAAUUCAUGAAAAGUUGCAUAUUUUU